GAGGGAAAGGUGAAAAGCACUUCGAACAGAAGAGUGAAAUAGUCCCUGAACCCAUACGCCUACAAGCAGUCGGAGCCGCUUCGUGCGGUGACGGCGUGCCUUUUGCAUAAUGAGCCUACGAGUUACUCAUCACCAGCGAGGUUAAGUACUUCAGGUACGUAAGCCGAAGCGAAAGCGAGUCUGAAUAGGGCGUCAAGUUGGUGGUGGUAGACGCGAAACCUUAGUGAUCUACCCAUGGGCAGGGUGAAGGUUUGGUAACACAAACUGGAGGCCCGAACCGGUAAACGUUGAAAAGUUUUCGGAUGACCUGUGGGUAGGGGUGAAAGGCCAAUCAAACUGGGAAAUAGCUCGUACUCUCCGAAAUGCAUUUAGGUGCAGCCUCUGUUGUUUUGUUCUAGAGGUAGAGCUACUGAUUGGAUGCGAGGGCUUCACCGCCUAUCAAAUCCGGCCAAACUCCGAAUGCUAGAACAUAAAGACAGGGAGUGAGCCAGCGGGUGCUAAGGUCCGUUGACGAAAGAGGGAGAACUCAGACCAUCAGCUAAGGUCCCCAAUUAUAUGCUAAGUUGGAAUAAAAACGGGGUGGGACUGCUUAGACAGCUAGGAUGUUGGCUUGGAAGCAGCCAUUCAUUUAAAGAGUGCGUAACAGCUCACUAGUCGAGCGGUCCUGCAUGGAUAAUACGCGGGCAUAAGCAUAUAACCGAAGCUAUGGGAUUGUAGAUGAUACAAUCGGUAGGAGAGCAUUCCAUUCAGCAUAGAAGCAGUACCGUGAGGUAUUGUGGAGCGGAUGGAAAAGCAAAUGUAGGCAUAAGUAACGAUAAUGCGGGUGAGAACCCCGCACGCCGAAAGAUCAAGGAUUCCCCGGCAAUGUCAAUCAUCCGGGGGUAAGUCGGAUCCUAAGGGUAAGCCGAGUGGCGAUCCCGAUGGUAAACAGGUUAAUAUUCCUGUACUGAUCAUAACUGCGAUGCAGCGACGCAGAGGUGACACUGCUGCGUACUGACGGAAUAGUACGUUGAAACCCGUAUUCUUUGAUACCGGUAGUGAAGCACGCCGGUAGAGAUGAAAGGUGAUAGUACCGCAAUGCUUCGGUUGCGCGGAUAAUGCAGGUAAGCUGACUGCCAAGAAAACCUGCUAAGCUUCAGGUAAUGAUCAUCCGUACUGUAAACGGACACACGUGAUCAGGUAGAAAAUACUAAGGCGCUCGAGAGAUUCAUGGUUAAGGAACUAGGCAAAAUGGUCCUGUAACUUCGGGAUAAAGGACGCUCUUGUGAAAGAGCCGCAGAUAAUAGGCCCAGGCGACUGUUUACCAAAAACACAUGGCUAUGCUAAUUCGCAAGAAGAUGUAUAUGGCCUGACACCUGCCCGGUGCCGGAAGGUUAAGAGGAGAGCUCAGAGGUAACUCGAAGGUUUGAAUUGAAGCCCCGGUAAACGGCGGCCGUAACUAUAACGGUCCUAAGGUAGCGAAAUUCCUUGUCGGGUAAGUUCCGACCUGCACGAAUGGUGUAACGAUCUGGGUACUGUCUCAACCAUGAGCUCGGUGAAAUUGUAGUUCCGGUGAAGAUGCCGGAUACCCGCAACGGGACGGAAAGACCCCGUGAACCUUUACUGCAGCUUUGCAUUGAUUUUGGGUAACAGAUGUGUAGGAUAGGUCGGAGGCUUUGAUGCUGCGUCGUCAGGCGUAGAGUAGCCGUCGUUGAAAUACGACCCUUUUGUUAUCUGAGGUCUAAUCCCGUUAGGGAGACAUUGCAUGGUGGGUAGUUUGACUGGGGUGGUCGCCUCCAAAAGUGUAACGGAGGCUUCUCAAGGUACCCUCAAGGCGUUUGGUAAUCGUCUGCAGAGUGCAAUGGCAUAAGGGUGCUUGACUGUGAGACCGACACGUCGAUCAGGUUGGAAACAAGAGCAUAGUGAUCCGGUGGUUCCGCAUGGAAGGGCCAUCGCU
rnacentral:rRNA from 1 species